ACGCAAGUUGCGCCCGAGGCCAACAGGCUAAGGGCACGUCCGCCUGGGCGUCAAGCGUUGAUUCGCUCCUUUUGACAACACACAUUUUGCCCUAUGCGGUGUUGUUGUCUCGGAUGCGGAGCAUGGCCCGUCAUGCGUGGAUGUGUGGCGGGCUAAAGAGUGGGAUGUUUUUCUCUAGGCACUGAUCGAUUAAUGGGUGGGUUGGAAUGCAUCGAAUGUCCUCAUCAUCGUCAGGUUGCUUUGAGAAAGCGGUACRAUCCUAAUAUAAACCCAACUCAAGUGUCGGAAGGAAAUUGAAAUGCGACC
rnacentral:rRNA from 1 species